GGGGGGGAUUUUGUUCAUCCUUUUCUCAUCUUCAUGCUUGCCAAAAACUAGAAAGAAAAACAAAGAAAAAUUUUCUCAUCCUUUGGUUCAUCCUUGGCCAAAAAUUUUAAGGAGGAAAGAAGAAGAAAGGUGAAGAGAUUCGGCCAUGCAUGUAGCUAGGCUAAGGUAUGUUUGAUGAUGUUCCAUGAGAGGCAUGCAUGUUUUAGUUGUUAGCUUGAGUUCUACCUAACCCAUGGUCUAAAUCUUGCUAUGUGAUGGAAAUGGCAC
rnacentral:lncRNA from 1 species